rnacentral:rRNA from 1 species
AUUGAACGCUGGCGGCAGGCUUAACACAUGCAAGUCGAGCGGUAACAGGAGAAGCUUGCUUCUCGCUGACGAGCGGCGGACGGGUGAGUAAUACUUAGGAAUCUACCUAGUAGUGGGGGAUAGCUCGGGGAAACUCGAAUUAAUACCGCAUACGACCUACGGGAGAAAGGGGGCAACUUGUUGCUCUCGCCAUUAGAUGAGCCUAAGUCGGAUUAGCUAGAUGGGGGGGUAAAGGCCUACCAUGGCGACGAUCUGUAGCUGGUCUGAGAGGAUGAUCAGCCACACCGGGACUGAGACACGGCCCGGACUCCUACGGGAGGCAGCAGUGGGGAAUAUUGGACAAUGGGGGCAACCCUGAUCCAGCCAUGCCGCGUGUGUGAAGAAGGCCUUUUGGUUGUAAAGCACUUUAAGCAGUGAAGAAGACUCUAGGGUUAAUACCCUUAGACGAUGACAUUAGCUGCAGAAUAAGCACCGGCUAACUCUGUGCCAGCAGCCGCCGUAA